UACAGAGGUCUCAAGCGUUGUUCGGAUUCAUUGGGCGUAAAGGGUGCGUAGGUGGCGCCGUAAGUCAGGUGUGAAAUUUCGGAGCUUAACUCCGAAACUGCAUUUGAUACUGCGGUGCUUGAGGACUGGAGAGGAGACUGGAAUUUACGGUGUAGCAGUGAAAUGCGUAGAGAUCGUAAGGAAGACCAGUGGCGAAGGCGGGUCUCGGGACAGUUCCUGACACUGAGGCACGAAGGCCAGGGGAGCAAACAGG
rnacentral:rRNA from 1 species